rnacentral:rRNA from 1 species
UACGGAGGGUGCGGGCGUUAAUCGGAAUUACUGGGCGUAAAGGGCGCGUAGGCGGCUGAUCAAGUCAGGUGUGAAAGCCCACGGCUUAACCGUGUGAAGUGCAUCUGAAACUGGUCGGCUUGAGUAUCGGAGAGGAAAGUGGAAUUCCCGGUGUAGAGGUGAAAUUCGUAGAUAUCGGGAGGAAUACCGGUGGCGAAGGCGACCACCUGGCCAAAUACUGACGCUGAGGUGCGAAAGCGUGGGGAGCAAACAGGAUUAGAAACCCGGGUAGU